GUUCGAUCAUGGCUCAAAUUGAACGCUGGCGGGAUGCUUUACACAUGCAAGUCGAACAGCGGCACGGACUUCGGUCUGGUGGCGAGUGGCGAACGGGUGAGUAAUGUAUCGGAACGUGCCUAGUAGCGGGGGAUAACUACGCGAAAGCGUAGCUAAUACCACAUACGCCCUUCGGGGGAAAGCAGGGGACCUUCGGGCCUCGCACUAUUAGAGCGGCCGAUAUCGGAUUGUAGCUAGUUGGUGGGGUAACGGCUCACCAAGGCGACGAUCCGUAGCUGGUUUGAAGGACGACCAGCCACACUGGGACUGGAGACACGAACUCCUACGGGAGGCAGCAGUGGGGAAUUUUGGACAAUGGAAACCCUGAUCCAGCCAUCCCGCGUGUGCGAUGAAGGCCUUCGGGUUGUAAAGCACUUUUGGCAGGGAAAGAAACGGCACGGGAUAAUACCCCGUGCAACUGACGGUACCUGCAGAAUAAGCACCGGCUAACUACGUGCCAGCAGCCGCGGUAAUACGUAGGGUGCAAGCGUUAAUCGGAAUUACUGGGCGUAAAGCGUGCGCAGGCGGUUCGGAAAAGAAAGAUGCUUGAAAUCCCGGAAACGCUUUGGAACUUUGCAUUUUUUUAACUACCGAGCUAGAGUGUGUCAGAGGAGGUGGAAUUCCGCGUGUAGCAGUGAAAUGCGUAGAUAUGCGGAGGGGAACACCGAUGGCGAAGGCGGCCUCCUGGUUAACGCACAGCUCAUGCACGAAAGCGUGGGGGCAAACCGGUUAAGAUACCCUGGUAGUCCACGCCCUAAACGAUGUCAACUAGCUGUUGGGGCCUUCGGGCCUUGGUAGCGCAGCUAACGCGUGGAAGUUGACCGCCUGGGGAGUACGGUCGCAAGAUUAAACUCAAAGGAAUUGACGGGGACCCACAAGCGGUGGAUGAUGUGGAUUAAUUCGAUGCAACGCGAAAAACCUUACCUACCCUUGACAUGUCUGGAAUCCCGAAGAGAUUUGGGAGUGCUCGCAAGAGAACCGGAACACAGGUGCUGCAUGGCUGUCGUCAGCUCGUGUCGUGAGAUGUUGGGUUAAGUCACCAACGAGCGCAACCCUUGUCAUUAGUUGCUACGAAGGGCACUCUAAUGAGACUGCCGGUAGGCAAACCGGAGGAAGGUGGGGACGUCAAAGUCCUCAUGGCCCUUAUGGGUAGGGCUUCACGUCAUACAAUGGUCGGGACAGAGGGGUCGCCAACCCGCGAGGGGGAGCCAAUCCCAGAAACCCGAUCGUAGUCGGAUCGCAGUCUGCAACUCGACUGCGUGAAGUCAGAAUCGCGUAAUCGCGGAUCAGCAUGUCGCGGUGAAUACGUUCCCGGGUCUUGUCUACACCCGCCCGUCACACCAUGGGGAAUUGGGUUUACCAGAAGUAGUUAGCCUAACCGUAAGGAGGGCGAUUACCACGGUAGGAUUCAUGACUGGGGUGAAGUCGUAACAAGGUAG
rnacentral:rRNA from 1 species